ACAAUGUUGUCAUCUUCUUGAGCGGUUAUCGCAAGGCCAGGGAACUUUCCGUUGAUUGUCACAAUCUCUUUUGUCUGGCACAGCCUGAUCCUAGUUGCAGCGCUACACCUGCCAAUGUUCAUUACUUGAAGAAUGAACAAGCAAAAGCUAAGACGGAGCAAGGAGGAGACAGAGGAACUGGCCAUCUUUUAUUGACAAAAAAAAAAAGAGACAGGGAGAUAUGAGAGUGAAAGAGAUUCAUGAUUUUGUAGAGCUGGGAAGAGGGACACUAGUGAUUAUAAGGUGUUGGGAAGGCGUGGCUUGUUUACUUGACCCCAGCGUGAGACUGAAGGCAACACACGGGUUACUCAAAAAGGGAUUGUAAAAAGAGGAG